AGCAUUCGCCAAGGAAGAACUGAAAGCAGGAUCUGCCCCUCCAUACACUGAGAACUGUAGAAUAUACAAGGCACGUGGAACUUACUUUCUUACGUGUAAAAGCUUGUACGUGCUCAUUAUCCAUCUGUCCUAAUGCUUCCCAAACAGUCUUCACUCAAAGCCUCACCAAGACCCAGAGGAGAAAAUAAAGGCACAGAGGGAUAAACUCAGAGCAGGAGAGCAGCAAGGAAUAGCACUGAAAGCAUGGUGCUUAAUCCAACCCCUUACUGGCAGCUGAGACCUGGAAAUGAAGUUCAUCAGCUAUAAAACAGGAAUGAUAAUACCUUAUUAUGUUGGUGUGAUAAUAAACAGAGUCAGUAUAUUGAAGAGCUUGUAUGAGUGGCAGACAUGGGACAUGCUUCCCUCUGGCUGGCCAGCCUGUCAUCUUCUCCACCAUGUGUCCAGAGAAAACCUUUGCAAAUCAACUUCUUGAUGAAUGAUGAUGGCUCCAGUGAAAUCAGGGGAGGCAGCAAAUCAUGUUGGUUUGGUUUAUAAUGCAAGAAGUUACAGAAUACAGAGUCCUCAGAACUGAGAAUGUGCUAGUUGUGUGAGUAUAACAGGAUCUUUCUUGGGACUCAGCCAGGAUUCAAACUAUCAAGGAAAAUUGGGGGAGCAGGUGGGGUAGUCAAGUGAUUCUAUUUGCAUGAAUAGAUUUGUGAGAUGAUACCUACUUGUCCAGGAACGCUGAGUGGUGCUUAUGCUGGGAGGAUUGUGAUUUGGACACCCUGGGAGAUGUCAUGCCUGACAUCAGCUUUCUCCCAGGUGACAACUGCGCCCUCUGAGGGCUUCUCAGGUGGCAGAGCUCAUUGAGUGUAGAAAGAAGAAGUGUGAGGAUGAUUCAUGAGCACGGGGUGGACAGCCUCUGGGGUGGCCAGUGCAUUAGCAAGGGAGAGACAUUCUGCAUUAUGCAGGAUGGAAUUUUCCAGAGGCUACAUGAUGAGUGAUGUCAUGACAGAUUAAGUGCAGAGCCAGCUAUGAGAAUCCAGCUGCCUUUUAUUAAGGUACCCAUUCUAUGAGUACCUUCAAGCUCCAUCACCAAAUAUGAAGGCAACUGCCUUCACCAGCUCCCACACCUACAUGAGGUCAAAUCCCUGAAUAGCACAUAACACACUAGAGCAAUGAAGAGGAUCUAACUAAAGAUGGGGAAGGAAAAGUGCGUGUACAGAGACAAGAAGUCAUAGACAUAGUUAUAUUGAAAGACAAUAAAUUCCUCCUC